rnacentral:snRNA from 1 species
AAAAAUUGGAAUGAUAAGAGAAGAUUAGCAUGUCUCCUGCGCAAGGAUGACACUCAAAUUCGUGAAGUGUUUUAUAUA